rnacentral:rRNA from 1 species
AGAGUUUGAUCAUGGCUCAGGAUGAACGCUGGCGGCGUGCCUAAUACAUGCAAGUCGAGCGAACUGAUUAGAAGCUUGCUUCUAUGACGUUAGCGGCGGACGGGUGAGUAACACGUGGGCAACCUGCCUGUAAGACUGGGAUAACUUCGGGAAACCGAAGCUAAUACCGGAUAGGAUCUUCUCCUUCAUGGGAGAUGAUUGAAAGAUGGUUUCGGCUAUCACUUACAGAUGGGCCCGCGGUGCAUUAGCUAGUUGGUGAGGUAACGGCUCACCAAGGCAACGAUGCAUAGCCGACCUGAGAGGGUGAUCGGCCACACUGGGACUGAGACACGGCCCAGACUCCUACGGGAGGCAGCAGUAGGGAAUCUUCCGCAAUGGACGAAAGUCUGACGGAGCAACGCCGCGUGAGUGAUGAAGGCUUUCGGGUCGUAAAACUCUGUUGUUAGGGUAGAACAAGUAUGAGAGUAACUGCUCGUACCUUGACGGUACCUAACCAGAAAGCCACGGCUAACUACGUGCCAGCAGCCGCGGUAAUACGUAGGUGGCAAGCGUUAUCCGGAAUUAUUGGGCGUAAAGCGCGCGCAGGCGGUUUCUUAAGUCUGAUGUGAAAGCCCACGGCUCAACCGUGGAGGGUCAUUGGGAAACU